rnacentral:rRNA from 1 species
AUUGAACGCUGGCGGCAUGCCUUACACAUGCAAGUCGAACGGUAACAGGUCUUCGGAUGCUGACGAGUGGCGAACGGGUGAGUAAUACAUCGGAACGUGCCUAGUAGUGGGGGAUAACUACUCGAAAGAGUGGCUAAUACCGCAUGAGAUCUACGGAUGAAAGCAGGGGAUCGCAAGACCUUGUGCUACUAGAGCGGCCGAUGGCAGAUUAGGUAGUUGGUGGGAUAAAAGCUUACCAAGCCGACGAUCUGCAGCUGGUCUGAGAGGACGAUCAGCCACACUGGGACUGAGACACGGCCCAGACUCCUACGGGAGGCAGCAGUGGGGAAUUUUGGACAGUGGGCGCAAGCCUGAUCCAGCAAUGCCGCGUGCAGGAUGAAGGCCUUCGGGUUGUAGACUGCUUUUGUACGGAACGAAAAGCCCUGGGUUAAUACCCUGGGGUCAUGACGGUACCGUAAGAAUAAGCACCGGCUAACUACGUGCCAGCAGCCGCGGUAA